GAUGAACGCUAGCGACAGGCUUAACACAUGCAAGUCGAGGGGCAGCAAUAAAAGUAGCAAUACGUUUGGUGGCGACCGGCGCGACGGGUGAGUAACGCGUAUGCAACCUACCUAUCAGGAGGGGAAUAACCCGGCGAAAGUCGGACUAAUACCGCAUAAAACAGGGGCACCGCAUGGUGAUAUUUGUUAAAGAAAUUCGCUGAUAGAUGGGCAUGCGUUCCAUUAGGUAGUUGGUGAGGUAACGGCUCACCAAGCCGACGAUGGAUAGGGGAACUGAGAGGUUGGUCCCCCACACUGGUACUGAGACACGGACCAGACUCCUACGGGAGGCAGCAGUGAGGAAUAUUGGUCAAUGGGCGGGAGCCUGAACCAGCCAAGUCGCGUGAAGGAAGAAGGAUCUAUGGUUCGUAAACUUCUUUUGCAGGGGAAUAAAGUGCAGGACGUGUCCUGUUUUGUAUGUACCCUGAGAAUAAGGAUCGGCUAACUCCGUG
rnacentral:rRNA from 1 species